AUUGAACGCUGGCGGCAUGCCUUACACAUGCAAGUCGAACGGUAGCGGGCCUUCGGGUGCCGACGAGUGGCGAACGGGUGAGUAAUAUAUCGGAACGUACCUUUCAGUGGGGGAUAACGUAGCGAAAGUUACGCUAAUACCGCAUAUUCUUUGAGCAGGAAAGCAGGGGACCUUCGGGCCUUGCGCUGAUGGAGCGGCCGAUAUCAGAUUAGCUAGUUGGUGAGGUAAAGGCUCACCAAGGCUACGAUCUGUAGCGGGUCUGAGAGGAUGAUCCGCCACACUGGAACUGAGACACGGUCCAGACUCCUACGGGAGGCAGCAGUGGGGAAUUUUGGACAAUGGGGGCAACCCUGAUCCAGCCAUGCCGCGUGAGUGAAGAAGGCCUUCGGGUUGUAAAGCUCUUUCGGCCGGGAAAAAAUCGCAUCAGCUAAUACCUGGUGUGGAUGAUGGUACCGGAAUAAGAAGCACCGGCUAACUACGUGCCAGCCGCCGCCGUAAAAC
rnacentral:rRNA from 1 species